rnacentral:lncRNA from 1 species
UCGCUGACGAUUUAUUAAUUUUGUUACCUGAUCUUUUCAGUAGGUAGGUAUAACAUAAUAAUUUCUCUCAAUUGUUUUUUUUUUUCAUCCGUAUAUUAUAUUAAUAUUGAGUACUUUUGGUACUAUAAAAUAUAGAUUAAUGUAGUUGCAUAUUGUUGUUGGCCUUUUGAAAGCACUUAUUAGUUAGUUUUACAAUUGGCAAUAAUUCUACGAUUCGGAUAUGUUUUUUUACCGAGUGGGUACCUAUUAUGUUGUUAAAAUUUCAAAAUAAUCGAAACAGUGAAAUCAAUCAUCAUGUUCUAAUAUUUAUAAAUUACAAAUUCUUAAAUCAUAUAGGUACCAACUAAUUUUAAACGAUUAUUAUUAAUUUAUACAAGUACACUAUAAUCACUACAUGUCGUACAUAAACGACUAAUUUAAAACAAAAACAAUUAUAAUUAUACAAACCAGGAAAAAACGAUUAGAAAACGCGGUGGUUUAAUUUUUUCUAAAAAUACAAGUCAUUUAAAUAGGUAAGAUUUAUUAUUUAUUUAUUUAUUUAUUAUUUUCAAAUCAAAUAAUGUACACCUAUAAUUUAAAAAUGUGUAUAGGUAGGUAAAAUGAAUGUAAAUUGUUGUAAUCGCUUAAAUUUAUUCGCAGUCCAAAUCGCAUAGAAAAUAAUUAGAAAUCAUUUUUUAUACACGAAUUUCAUACUUUUGUUCGUUGAAAUAUAAAUUGCAUAAAACAUUUCUGUAUUCAAUUUGAAAACAUACACAAUACAAAUACGUGAGGAAAUUCAAUCUAAAUCAUAUAAGUAUUACUUUAAUACUGUCGUGAACUGUAAUAUAACAUGAAUGUACAGUAAACAGAUUGCAAUAAUUAUAAUUUAUUGGUAAUGUUUUUCUUGCGAUCAUCUGUGUUUGAAUAAUAUUUGAGUUGAAUUGGGAAAAAAUUAGCACAGACAUUUAUUAAAAAAAAAAAAAAAAAAAAAAACAUACGUUCCUGUUAGGAUUUAAUUGUUAACAGAAGGGUAACCACUCGAAUUUGGAUAUUAUUAAACUACCGAUUUUAAUUAUUGUCCAAAUAACAAACGAAUGCGGGUAAGAACAUCGAUCAAUCGCACCCCUCAAUCGAUUUUUGUUAACGCCGACGUCUCUGUGUGCGUUACGCGCAACAAUAUAUUAGAAGGGGUACGGUGAAAUAUUUUUUAGAAUAGAAGAAUUAAAUACCUGCCUACCUAUCUGUAUUUAUUCCGAGCUCCCACCGAUUCCAACCAUCGAACUCGCAACGAAAUACGUACCAAACUACGGCACAAUAAAAUAUAAGGUAUGUGCCGCCCGUGGUAGACGUAUAUGUAUUUGACAUUUUGUUGCCUUAUUUCACGAGCGGAUCGAGAGGGCAACACUGUGCGAAACAUUUCAUGCGGACCCGGCGUAGAUACCUAUAUUUAUACACACUUUGAACCGGUUCUCAAUUGUCGGACCGGUGGCGGCGAUCACUCGUUAGUAGUACUACACACCGUGGUCAGUGCGUACUGACGUCGUUUGUUUGCGUUUACGAAAUAUAUCCAUCAUUUAUUUUGUCUGAAUAAACAAUCGUGAAUUGGUUAACGGAAACACUCCGUGUUGAUACCAUUAUUAUUAUUACUUAUUAUUUUAGUGAUGUGCUGAAAGGUCGAUCGUAAUAGUUAUCGGUUCCGAUAACAUGGAUAGGCUCAAGAGGCCCUUUUCCUUGUUUAAAUCGGCCAAAAAAGACGAACCGUCUCAAGAUAGCGUAGCUUCCGAAAAAUCGUUCCGGGAUAAAGUAGAUUUUUUCGAAAAGUCGAUAGAUUCCGAAGAUAGACGGGAUAAUGGUAAAACUUCAAAAUAAUAAUUAUAUAUUUAUAUCUACCUAUAGAUGUUUUAUUUUUUUUUUUAAACGGCUGUGAUCAAAAAAGUGUAAAAUUUUGCGAACAUUAAAUAAACCAAAUAUUAGCUACUAUAAAUAUCAGCUAUUUCCUACUAUUUUAAUAAUAUUAUUAUAAAAUAAUAUCGUAAGGUUAUAACCUACCAAGGUUACCUUAUAUUAUGUUUUUAAUAUUUGUAGGGCAAUAAUGGAAAUAAACAACAUAACAGCCUAGUGAUAACACACGGUUCGUAAAAAUGAUAUAGGUAGGAAAAUAUAGGUAGAUAAAUAGAUAAAGUUUGAUUCGAUUAAUUACAAUAGAUAUUUUGUAAAAUUAAAAUUUACUCGAAUUAUUAAAAACAAAUAAUGAUUUAAAUAAUGUAUAUACCUAUUUAAAAUGAAAAACCGAUUUGUAAAAAAUCUAUACCUAAAUUCACUAUUGUUACACGAGUGAUACGAGUUUAUAUUAGAUUAGGUAUGACCAACGAGAGCAAUUUCUUUACGACAACCAUAUGGUUUUUUAGUUUUUUUAAUUUUUCCGAGAAAUAAUUUCAGAACGUCGCGGAAUAGGAACAGAAUAUAGACGGCAUGCAACUCUAAUCUAUAGUUUAGAUAUUAUGUUUCUCGCAUGACAGAUGGCAAAGCACAUGGUACAUUAAAGAGGUAUUAUUUUGUUUUUCAUGCAAUUUUGAACGAUACAGUGAAAAAAAAACUAGUGUUCUAAAAACUACAGUCAUUUAAAUGCGACCACUUUUGUUUUUUGAAAUCGCUAGAACCGAGCCGUUAUAACAUUGCUUUCAAGUUUUAGAUCCAAAAUCCAAUGUUAAAUAUAUGAAUAUUAGAUUUUCAAUAUCUAUAAUCAAACACAGGCUCGUUGGUAUUCAGGUUGGUCGGGGAGCAAGUGCACCAUUUUCGAGUACAUUUAGAGGACGUUAUACCAGCAUGUGCUGUCUCUGUCUUCAAACCGCGUGACAUUGCAAAUUUUCGUUCAGCAGGGACAACUCUGCGCUGUUAGUUUUAAUAUUAGAGUGAAUUAACCGCUAUUUUAAACUUAAAGAUAAGAAUAUUACUUAUGUCACGUCGUCGUGUUUUUUUCGUAGUUUUAAUUUUUGAGUGAGUAUGAGUGCGUGAAAUAUCACGCUUUAAAAAUGCUUAUAUAUCGCUUAGAAAUUAAAAUAAGAAGAAAAAAUACCGACGAUAACCCGACACAUAUAAUGUUCUUAUCUUUAAGUUUGACAAUAGGUCAAUUCACUCUAAUAUUAAAACUAACAGCACAGAGAAAGUGUUAUGCCUGCUGAACGAAAAUUUGCUAUGUCGCGUGAUUUUAAAACGGAGACAGCACAAUAUGCUGGUAUAACGUCCUCUUAAGGGGACGAACAAUUUAUAUGAACGCUACAUUAUUAUUACAUAUUUGAUAUUACUAACAAUCAGUAAUAUUAUAUAAUUGUACCAGACAAAAUCUUAUCUUUUAUGCCAUUUUAUAGAAUAUUUUUAUGUAGUUUUUCAGUAUGACUUUCAAAAUAAAAAAAGCAUACAUUUUUUUAUAUUUCAAGAUUCAGUCUAAAAUAUUUAUUUAAAAAAAAAAAAAAAUGAAAAAUGAUCAUAGGUAUUAAAUUUAUUUUGUUCCCAAAAUAAUACACGUAGGUAUCUUAAAUUUCGAAAUAAAACUUUUGUUUUAGAGGUGAAGCACUUAAAAUUUAAGUACAUGUUUAAUAUGCCCUGUGCAUAAAACGUAUAAAUUCCGGUCAGUGUUUGGAUUUUGAUAAUUUCGGUUUCUGACUAGUAUUUAAACUGUUACUUGUAUUUGUAUCGGUUAGUUCUUCAGUAUUUAUCUUAUUCCAUUUUCAAUAGUAGGGAAACUCUCUCUAUUUUUGAAAUAUUUUCAGCAUACUCAUAAAUUAAUAAAUGUUGUUCUGUUACAAGCAAAUAGGUAUAUAUUUCCCAAAGAACCUAUUUUCAUUAAAAAUGCGGAUCAAAUAAUUAUUUCACAUAAGUAGGUAUCUAACCAUAAUAUUUACGAUAAUUAAUAAUGACAUCAAAACAAUCAAAAUUUCAAUAACUGAAAUGAGUUCAUAGAUACAAUGUUCAUUGUAUCUAUUAAAUCUAUGUAUACAUAUUAUAUAAUAACAUGUCCUGAUUGAGUAACUGACUGAUUCAUUAUCGCCUAGCCCAAACUACUGAACGGAUCAGGCUGAAAUUUGGCAUAAAGACAGCUAUUAAGAAAUAGAUAUCCGCUAAGAAAGGAUUUUUGAAAAUUACUUUUCUUAGGGGAGUCGAAUAGGAGUUUUUAGGUAUUUUUGGUAUGAAUAUCUAAUUGUUUAUUCAUGGGUUACCUUGGUGACAGAUGAAAAUUUGGUUGUCACGGACAAGAAAACUAUUAUUAGUAUUAUUAUUUACACUAUUAUCUAGCAAUAGCAAAGAAUUCCCGGGUCAGCUAGUAUGAUAUAUUUACAUUUUUUUGUUUGUUUUUUUUUAUUUAAGUAUUAUACAAUCUGUAAAAUAAUAUUUACAAUAAGAUAGUUAGUUAGCUAAUAAGUCCCGACACCACGUUCGCUUUAAACGCCUUCUGGGGUUGAGUGAGUGUAUAAUUCAGCUAUUAGUGGAUUCCUACUGGAGAUCCUGUUUGUGGGUACUGAAAUGGAGACGUUUGUAGAAGGUUUUGGCUGUUUAUAACUAUUUGUAUAUGAAGGUCUUUAUAUCGUUGGAGACAUAGUAUGGAGCUUUGUUAUUUAUUCUUUUUUGGUAUAUUUAUAUGAGUAGGUAAUAGAUACGCUGUAAAUUAUUAUUUAAAAAAAAAAAUAAAUAUAUUAUUGUGUGUAUAGGUCACUAAGUCAAUUGGAUUAGAUAAUAUUUUACGUGUGUUCUUAAAUGAUAAAAAUUAUAAUCUUAAAUAUUAAAGCGUUAAAAUAUUUUAUUGCAAUUAAACCAUUAACCAUUUAAGUACCUAAUAUUAUAAAGGAUAGGUACUUAAAUAUACUUAGAAUACUCAGGUAAUUAUUUAAAUAGGAGCUGUAGAUUAGGUUUUUUCAAAACCCAUCGGCUAAAUCUUUUGGAUUUAGUGAAAAUAAAUUGAUCAGUUUUGAAUACUGUAAAUUAUUAUUUUGUAUUCAUAAGAUAUUUUUAAUUUGUUUUAUUAUAAUUUAUAAUGUAUAUGUAGGUAUUAUAUAAUAUUAUUGGUUAUUUUUUUUCGAGAUUUGUAUCUGCUUAGAUGUUUCAUUUCGAUAAUAAUAUAAAUACCCUGUCAUUACUAUUUAUGUGUAAUAAAAUUGAUCUCGUAUACUAAAUAUUUACUAUUUAGGCAGCCUACGUGGUGGGCUAAUUAAAGUUGUGAUAUUAUCACAACUUUAUUUAGCGGACUAAUUUGCGGACCUACCUAUAUAAUAUAAUAUAUUAUAUAAAAUAAUUAUAAGUACAAAAUUCUAUAUUUCAUUUAGUGAACAUUAUUUUUACCUUAGGUAGUUAAUUAAUGUUUAUCUAACAUUGAAAAACAUAAUGUAAAUGUCUACUUAAAUUAUAUUAUUAUAAAAAAUGUAUACUUAUUCAAUGAAAAUAUUAAUGCUAGAUAGGUAGGUAGAUAAAAUUUAUUUUAUUCAGUUACACACAUAAAUAAUAUUAUCAUUAUAAAUGUAUAAUCUAUAUAUACUAAGCAUAUAGGUAGUAUUUUUUUUUUUUUUGAUAACUUUUAGUGGUUAAAUAUUAAUUUUAAGUUCUAUAAAGAUUUUAUCGUGGUAAAAAUAUAAUGGUUCGAUUUUUAAAAUACUCAGAAAAUGUCAUCAAUGAUAAUUCUCCGAUAUUCUUACUUAUUAUAUUUUAAUAAUCCACUAUAAUUAUUACAUUAGAAAACACUUCAUAUACUUUACAUUUAUAAAAUAUGUAUUAUAAUAUUUUUAUUAUUAAUAAUGACUUAUAAUCAAUCACGUGAUAACAUUUAGGUACGUUACACAUUUUAUCGACCUAGUAAAUCCAUUUUUGAAAAGUAAGUACCUUCACCUAUUUCAUAUUUGUAAUCAAACAUUUAUAUAGAUUGUCGAAAAAAAAAAUGAUGAUUAAUUACAUAAUGAUUAUAUUAUAUUAUAUAUCUCUAAUAAUAAUUUUCUUCUUUUCUCAGUUAAUAUUUGAAAUAUUUCACUAUAUUAUUGUUAUUUAUGCAAUCUUCCAUUCGCUUAUUUGUAAAUAACUUCUCACGGGAGUACGUAGAAUAAUAUAAUAUUUGCAAUAUUGCAUUUCAAUCACACUAUAGUUCUAAUAAUUUUCAAGUAUGUGUUGUGCUAAAAUUAUAUUUAAACGAAUUUUGAAUUGUAGGUCAAAUACUUUCAGCUAGACAAAAUUUUUUUUAUAAUCAAUAAUAAUUAACAUACAUUUGAUAUUUUUUAUAAUAAUUAAUAUUAUUUAAAAAUUUGUCUACGUGAAUAUAAUAAUAACUAUUAUAAUCUCGUAAGUAAACACCUUUUUGGUAAUAAUAUGCGCUACCUAUAACUAAAUACCGAUUUGGAAAAUUACAGUACGUGCUGUUUUGCAAAAACAAAACCCAUUAUUAUCGACGCAUAAAUUUGUAUGUAUAACGGCUUAUGAAACCGGUUUAAAUGUUUUCUUCUUUUUAUGGCUCGAAGAUAAAUAAAAUAAAAUGGUAUUUUUUUAAAUUUGCUCGGUGCGGUCGUUUAAUUUGGACGCCUACGAAUCAGUUCCCGAGCGUUUAUCGGAUUGUUCUCCCAAAUCGAUUUUCGGAUAUUUUUUCGAUAACAGUGCACGGGGAAAGUUUACUGACUUUUUAAAAAUAAAAAGGUAGCAAAUAAUCUGGUUAAGUUAAAUAUUGUUUGGUUACCGACAUUAUAUAUACAUAUUAUAUUUUAUGUCUGGUUUCCUUAUUUGGUUUUGGAUAUACGUUAAAAAAAAAAAAAAAACAUGGACUUAACAAUAGGAAGGAAAUGUUUACAUGGUGACAGACAUAACCGUUAUUAUUAUUUCAUUUCGCAUUUGGUAACCUUUCUAUAACAUCAUUUAGAUACUACAUUUUCAAAAUAUAGAAUAUAAAGUAUAUGAUAAAUGUACAAGAUAAAUAAAAAUUAAACACUUUCUGUACAUGGACUGUAUAUUUUAAUAAUAUAAUAUAAUAUAGAAAAUAUCUAUUCGAUUAACUAAUCAGUUUUUUGGUAUGUACGCGUAACCAUGACCGAAUGUAUCGGCAAUAUAUGGUACAAUUUUUUAUUUCGACUGACAUUUUUAAAAAAAACUUAAUUACCCGUACCUUAAACUGAUUAUAGUAAAAGAGAGAAGAGAUACUGAGACGUGCUGGCUAGCAUAAAAAUUCCGUUAAAUCUUUCGCAAAGAUCAAAUAAGCUCGGGCUAUAGAAAUAGAAUGUCUUAUACAUUCAGGAAUUGGGAGACGUCUCUUCUCAAGCAGAUCGAUUGAAUUACCAAUCUAAUGAAACGCCAGAGUAGUCAUCAUAGAGAUGACAUCAAUAACAAGCCCAAUAUUUGGCUUAAGUCCCUUUUUUUGACCAAAAUAAUCAUUAAAACUACUGAUUCGACUUGUCGAUUGACAUGCGGUUGUGUUUUCAGACAAUACGUAUGAUGAAAUUUCUAUUGAAAUAUACAUAUGAAUUUAUGAUAAUCAAAAAAAAAAAUACUAUGUGGGCACACAUCCUUGCUCUUUAGCACUUACAGGGGUAUGGCCGUAUGGAUAGAAACGAGCCGGAGACGUGUAAAAUUGAAUUUUUUAAAAAAAGUAAAUUAUAUCGAUAAUCUAUCUUAAAAUCAAUGGCAUAAUUAAAUUUGUGCAAUGUGCAACAAAGUGGAUGGGAAUAACUAAUAUUUGAAUAAGUAUAUUAUGAAAAUAACAAGGCAAUUUGAAAUUAAAUCAUUACAAUACGGAAUCAAUAGAUAUUUUCACAAAACUCAAGUGUUGAAAAAUCAUUUGCAGACUUUGCCAAUUUAUGUACAUUUUGUGACCAACGAAAACUAACGUACUCGUAUAUCCCAUAUUUACCCACCAUUAAUUUAUACUUUAUAGAUUACCUGUAGUUAUUAUUUACUUUAUCUGUAUAUUUAUUAUCCUAUUUUACCUUAUUAUUGUCACACACGAGUGAAUCACUAUUGAAUUAAAUUAUCAUUAGUACAAAUACGCGGAACAGGAUAUAAAAACUGGGCGUUAGACCCUCCUUUUGCUGACCUCAGUGCUAACCUACGAGUUUAAUUAUUUUUGAUUUGAUUGAGACGCUUUUCCAAAAUGUAAGAUCGUAUAAAGUGUACAAAUGGUGUUUUCUGAAAUAUAUUAAACACAAUAUUAUUAUUUUAUACAUUUUAAUAUUAUAAAUUUCAAAGAAAUCCCUAAUAAUAUUGUAACAACAAUUAUUGGCAAUAAAUAUUAUCAUAUAUUCUUAUAUCUCUGAUAAUGACCUAUAUAAAUCGUUAAUUAUUAUUAUAUUAUUAUACACGUUCUUUAACAUAGUAAUAUGAACGAAUCAACCGAAUAUACUAUAUCGAGUACAUAAACACUUAUUCUUUUGACAAUUAUUUGAUUGUUGAUUUUGUAAAAGCGUAUACUUUUGAUUAUAUACUAUCGAAAUAUCUUUUAUACAAAAAUACGCCCGACAGCGACGAUAAAACGAGGUGACUGCUACAUAAUCGUAGCACCUAACGGUCAAUUUAUGUAUAAAAAGAAAAACUAGAAAGCCAGUACAUAUUAUUAUUGUGAUUGUUUUAUACAUCCUUGCAACGUUUUUCCAGUACAUGAUACUAUACUCAUAUAGAUAGACCAGUGUUGUUGGCUAGGAAGGUAUAGGAUAUAUAUUUUAUAUGAUAAUUUAAUUUAUAUCAGUAACUUAACAACAAAAUAAAUUAUAAUUGUCAGUAUUUCGAAUAUUUUAAUUGUGUCGAAAAAAUUAUAUCCACAUAAAUAAAAAACAUGGACAUUAAUAGAAAUAAAAUAAGUUAUAAAUAUUAUAAUAACUCAUUCCUAAACGAUUUUAGAAUUAAAAAAACAUGUUUUUAUGAAAAUUUAAAGAAGACAACAUUCUACAAUACAUACUUAUUCUCAAAACUUAGAUAAUUUCCCCUUCGAUAUGCAUCUACUAGAAAUAGAUAAUAAUAUACUGUUAUUUCGAAAUUUUAAACGAGUUUAAUUAUAAAAUAAUAAUAAUAAACGAGAUUAUCGACAAAUAUUCACGUAAUUCUCUCGAAAAUUUAAUCUACUUUCCUUUUUAUAAUAUAUGUUAUUAUUCUAUAGUUACUGCGUUAUCCAGUGUAGUUAAUAGUUACCAAUUAUUGUUAGGUACUCAGUUACUUCGAAUCGAACAUAUUUUUCGUGCCUACCGAAAAACGCUUGUGUAACAUCCUCUUAACAUAUUUUAUUUUAAUUAUACCAUUAAUUGGUUUUCCACAAUACAUUUCCAAUAACCCAUUUAUAAACUAUUAAAAAUAUUUUUUUUAUACUUGCGAAAUUGACAUCUUAAAUAUAAUGUAAAUAUUUGUUUUUGAUAAGUAGGUAUAUUAUUAUGUAGUUGUUUAUCACUUUUAUAUUAACCUGUUUAUUUAAUUUUAAGACUCAUUUUUCACACGCUCAAUAGUAUACCAUAUUAUUAUAGUUCAAUUAGAUAAACUUAAAUAAUAUGACACAAUAGGUAUUGUUUAAAAAAGAAAAAAAGAAAUUGAAUGUUAUUGACCCAUUUUUUGAGAGUUUGGUUAGAGAAUAGGUUUUCAUGCGCAAAUUAUUCGGGAUAAAAAAUAUAUAGACGGUUAAUAAAAUGGGCCACUUAGUGGUUGUGUGUUCGUUAUAAUACUAGAAAGUUAAACUAAUGUAAAACAGUGAAAGGCAGGGUAUCGGGCGAUCAUCUUGUUUCGCUCAUUUUGAAGUAUAUCAUGGUAAUAUAUUAUUUUUAAUUUGAACGCUACACUAUUAUUGAAUAUCAAAAAUGAUUCCUAACAGAAUUCAACAAUUAUUUUUAAAUGCGGAUUUUUGAUUAUUUUCAUGCCUAUUACACAAAUGAUUAAAGUAAAAUUUUUAUCAAGUGCCACCAAUAUUCUGUUUAAUUUCCUAUUUACAUAUAUCGUUGUGUAUUUAUGAUAAAUAUUUAUUGUAGACAGUUCCUAUUUAUAAAAAAUACAAAUAUAAGUAUUAAACUAAUAGCUCUCAUAUUCUGUUGAGAUUUAAAGUGGAUAAUAUGUUUUAAACAAUAUAGUAUAAUGAACAUUAUAGUAUUAGAAAUUUGGAUUAAUGUCAAACUUAAGUAAUUAUUUUGAAUCCCAAUUUCAGCGUACAUAAUAUGUUUAAUCAUUUAAAUUUUUUUCAAUUACAUAUUUUACCUUAUGAAAAAAAUUCUUUACAGUUUUAAGAAUGGAAAGACAAUUAUUGUAUAAAAGAAAAUAAUAUAAUUAACUGCAAAUUCGGAAAAACUGGUACUUAUUUUAUUUCUACGUGUUCAAUUUGUAUUUGUUUUAAAAAUAUUUAGGUUUUGUAAAAAUGAUAUUUUUUGGCAAAUUUCAAAAUCCACUAAAAAUAUUUUAAUAAGCAAUUUUAUAGGUAUAUAUGAUAAGAUUAGUUUAUACAUGGAAAUAAAAAUGAAAUAAUUUUUUAAAUAGCAAAUAUAUAUUUAUAGAUUUUAAUCAUAACUUACCUUAAAUGAUUAACUAUAACAUUAUGAAAGAGGUACCAUCAUAAUAAUGUUUUUUAUUUAUCAUCCUGUACGUAACCAUAUAGUAUAAUAAUGUAGGUCAUAUUAUUAUGAGGCGUUUAGUAUAGGCAAUUUAUAUUUUGAUUUGCAUUAUGAAAUAGUACUUUUAUUAUACAUUAGUAUUAAAAAUACAAUUCAAAAUAUUGUUAUAUAUGUCGUAGGCCAUAUGGAAAAUUAGUUUUUUUGCGAAAAGACUAGUCUCUUUGCAAUGGGGUAACCCGUUUACGAACUACUUUUAUUUUUCUAAACGGCCUGCUGUUUUUCAGGUUAUUGCUUACAGACUAACAGUAGUUAGGUCUUUUAAGAACUGCAAUCAUUAGAAUAUAGUAACAACCAUUUUACUUAUUUUAUUUUAUGGGUAAUUUAUUACUUUUAUAAAAAAAUAAGACAUAAAAUUAUUAUAAAAUAAUAAUACAAUUAUAUUACAUGUAAAACUGAAUAAGUAUAUAUUAUUAUAUAGUAUUAUAUUUUUGUAAAAUAAAACUAGUAAUACAAUAGUUAAAAACUUUAAAAUAAUCUAAACUACACUGAUACUCACCAUUGAUACAGUUUAUAAAAUAAAUAUAAUACCUACUGUAUAAUAAGUACCAUAUUUAAUCAGACUAUUCAGUUUACAUGUUAUAAUAAUUCUAUUGAUCUUUUUUUUUGUAGAAAUAAUAAAUUAUCCUAAAAAUGAAAUAAGUAAAAUAACUAUUACUAUAUUUUAAUGAUUGUACUUCUUAAAAGGCCUAACUGCUGUUAGUCUACAUGCAAUAAACCUGAAAAACAGUAAACCGUUUGGACAAAUAAUAAGUAGUUCACAAACGGGUUACCUCAUUGCAAAGAGUCUUGUCUUUUCGCAAAAAGACUAAUUUUACAUAUGGCCUACGACAUACACAAGUAAUACCUAUAUAUACAUUAUAAUAUUCCAAUUAAACACGGAAAUAUAAUCACAAAAAUAUAAUACUAUUAUUAUAUUAGACAUAUUAAUGUUAAAAUGUAAACAUUUAAAACAAGUUUUAUAAAUUACUGUCUACGAAAAAUAAUGUAUUUCAUCAUAAUAACUACUUAUAUUAUACUCAAUGUAUUAUUUAAUGUUUGCAAAUAAAUUAUACUAAAUACGAUCACAGUCGUAGAAGUCAUAGAAGUUAAUAAUAUUAUCAUUAAAUAUAAUACAUUUUCACUAAACAGCGAUUAGCAGCGCAGGGGGAUUGGUUGAUGGGUCGGGUGAUGAAACUUUUGAGGAAGUGCUUGAAGAACGUGACGUAUACACAAAAGAUGGUCGGAAAAAAGGAAAAAUGGUUAUCGUUAAUAAAGUUACGGUACACAGGAGUGUGAAAACUGUUACUAGCCCUGAACUAAGUCCUAUGGUCAAACAUUCAAUAUCGUUUGAUCGAGAAAAUCCAAUGAGCAUAUCCUCGUCUAGAGAGAGUCUUUCAUCGCCAAAUACUUGGAGGAAGUUAUUCGUCGGUACCCGGUCACAAUUUGACUUGCACAUUGAAGAAAUAAAAAGUAAGCGAUAUAAAAUAU